CAGCAGCCGCGGGAAUACGGAGGGGGCUAGCGUUGUUCGGAAUUACUGGGCGUAAAGCGCACGUAGGCGGUUUUGUAAGUCAGAGGUGAAAGCCCGGAGCUCAACUCCGGAACUGCCUUUGAGACUGCAUCACUUGAACGUCGGAGAGGUGAGUGGAAUUCCGAGUGUAGAGGUGAAAUUCGUAGAUAUUCGGAAGAACACCAGUGGCGAAGGCGGCUCACUGGACGACUGUUGACGCUGAGGUGCGAAAGCGUGGGGAGCAAACAGGAUUAGAUACCCCCGUAGUCCCUGUCUCUUAUAC
rnacentral:rRNA from 1 species